AGGAGAAACAUAGAUGAAGGCCGAAGUGAAGAAUGCAGACGCAAUGUCAACAGUCAACAACUUGCAGGUGAUUUUAAAACCAUGGGAUGUAGGGAGGGAGUGAAGAAACAUGAGAAGAAAGUCAAGACAGGGAAAGAAUGAGUGGCAAACACAACCAGAAUUGUAGAGAAUAUGAUACACUUACAAAAAAGAGUACCUGUGAGAAGAGUUAAAAAGACAUAUCAUCAUCAUCAUCAUCAUCAUCAUCAUCAUCAUCAUCAUUAGAUUCUUCAGUGGUAAUUCCCUAGGACAAAGAGGAAAUUCCACUUUUUUUAAAACUUUGAAUAUAUCACCAGCAUUAAGCUAUUUUAGAAAGCCAUGGUUGAGCCCUUAGUCUUAAAAAAGUGAUCCAUCUUAAACUGAGUCAAGUUCAUGCAUUUGACAGCAGUGGCUGGUCCCCCUGCUGGCCCCAUUUCAAGUGGACUAGUGAUUCAAAAGCAGAGACUCCUCAAGUUGAGAGAACUUUGAAACUUAUCUAUUCCAACCCUCUAACCAAUUCAAGAAUCCAUUGUAUAACAACCCUGGUAAAUGCUAAUGCCAUCUUCAUUUCAACUGCUCUAAGGAGAGGAGCCUUACCACCUCGAAUGGUUCCGAAUGACUCCUUGAUGGUGGAAACAUACAGUGGAAGGAGCCUGAAUCCUGAGAUUAAUGCUUGGAGGAGAACCACCUAGAAGUAUCACUGACCAGAAAUAUCCUCAUGAGACUGUGUGAAUAGAAAAUAAAUCUUUGUUGCAUUAUGGUUCUGAGAGUUUGAGGUUGUUUGUUAUUCCAGUUAGUCUAC